GUUCUCAGGGCGGGGCGGAAUUCCCCACCGGCGGUAUGCAGGGCGCAAGCACCUGUGAGCCCGCGAGCGGCUUCCGGAGUGAACGGGAGUGUCAGCAGAUCUGGUGAGAGGCCAGAGCCGACGGUUACAGUCCGGAUGAAAGAGAAC
rnacentral:ncRNA from 1 species